GAUACAGUCAAUGAUAUGUGGACAUGCAUCAAAGCUUUCUCCUGUUGGUGACCAUCAUAGCCGUCCAAUGACCAUGACAUCCACCACCUCGCCCUUGUGGAGUUCCACGUACUGCUCUGUCUUUGGAGGUAGCAUCAAUAAUCCAUUGGCGCUGCGCAUGCUCAUCAGACGACUGCUCAUCUGAUUACCUGGAAUGAAAUACUCUAAUUACUGCAGCACAGACAUCAGGAAGUACACGUGGAGAGGCCAGCAAAUGAGUGCAGGGCUCCAAGGAGAGAGAUGAUCAGUCUUCCCAGUACCUUUCCAGGUGAAAUGAAACAUUACCCUGGCUUUGAUGAUGGUUGGCCGAGGAUCCAAGAUACCCUGCAUCUUUCUCAGUGCAGGUACAACAAAGAGGUUGCAGGUGACCACAGCUGAUACAGGAUUCCCUGAAAGUCAAUCAAACAGUUAUUUAUAUUACAUCACACAAAUCUGUCAGGGCCGAGGACUGUGUCCUGGAAGAACAUUCUGGUUGGACUAGGUGUUAGUCCUGUUUUAUAGGUGAAGAACUAGCAUCAGAGAAGGUAAGUAGUUUGCCAAUUAGUAAGACUAUUCAGAUUAUAAAUCAAGUGAUGUUGACUAGAGACUGGCCAUCUGAGAAACCUAUUUUUUUUUUUUUGGUCA